AAAACAAUUAAGGAACACUAAAAACAAAAUUGGAUACCUCUAUUUCAAGUAUUAUCAACUUUCGAAAUCAAUACGUUUGGUCAAAUUGCUACUUUCUGUAUGUUCAUUGAAAAAAUUUAAUUUGGCAACACAGAGGGAAGCAAAAUGGUGCACUGAAUGAAAAGUAUAAAUAAAUGGAGGCAAUUUAAUGCUUGGUGUAGACGGAGUAUACCAUAUAGUAUAUUUUAUUUAUUUCACUGCGCGCAUCAUUUUGCUUCCAUUUACGGAAAAACUAGACAGCGUCGCUGGGCGAUAUUCUAAGGUUAAAUCAUAAUCUCGGAUGCAUAUUAGUUAUCCAACUCGCAUGGUUUAAGUAUGUGCAAAAUGAAGAAUGAAGUAAAACAGGAGAUUGAAAGGGUUGAGGUAAGUUAUUAUUCUUUUAUGUAAUAAAAUCAGAGUCAAGAUGUUAAAUUGUUAACUAAGAAAAAUGAUGAUAUUAUAUUUUAGUAACUUUUGCAGGGUGAUUUUUCGCCACAUUCUACAUUCGACAAUAGCGAUGCCGACGCAGAAUUUUUUCCAGAUAGAUCGCCGUCAGACUCAGAAAUAGAGAUCUGUAAAUUUAAGAAGAAAAUUACGGUUUUGCAGAAUAUUCGAGUGCAAAAUUCAGAGGAAUCUCAACCAGACUCUGACGAAACAAAACUAAAUACAAAAAUAAACACAAUUAAAGCUUUGAGAAAUACAAAAGAAAAUAUUGCCAUGCACAAACUGCUUGGGAUUUUACAGAUCGAAAUUUUUAUAUCGACACACAAAGAAAUGCACAGGGGCUAGUUCAUCAAAAAAUGCUCAAGUUGCAAGUCAAAACUUUUUGAUAAAAAAUUUGACCCGAAUUGACCAAUAAUUAAAAGAUCAGGUUUUUCCUAGAAUGAGACCUGAUAAGAUUUCUUUAGAGGCAAAGAAUGACUUUUUAAUAUGUGCCUUUGGAGCUCGUUAUCUUAAGACACAUUGCGAAAAACAUUUUAUUAAUGUUACAAGUAGAAAAAUGCGAGAGUUGUCAAGAAUUUUAUUAGAGCUUAAAAAAAUGGAUCCAAACAUAGCAAAUCUAUUUGAAGCAUUGCAUCCAAAGCACUACGAUAAACUGGUGGAAGCUACAAAAUCUGUGGCCAGAUUUGAUAGCAUAAAGGAAGUGUUUCCACAUCUCUGAGACAGUGUUGCGAUAUUGCAACUUAUAUGACCCUAAAAAGUGAACCGUCAGUUGAAACGGCAAAUAUUGAAUCUCGAUUUAAAA